GCUGGGUGCGGUGGCGCACACCUGUAAUCCCAACAGUUUGGGAGGCUGAGGCAAAGGGAUUGUCAGUUCCAAGCCAGCCUCAGCAAUUCAGCAAGGCCCUAAGCAACUUGGCAAGACCCUGUCUGUA
rnacentral:sRNA from 1 species